rnacentral:ncRNA from 1 species
GAUCUUCGGGGCAAGGUGUAAUUCCUGACCGGCAGUAAAGUCUGCGAGCCAAACGGCUGAAACGGUGUGAUUCCGUUACCGACAGUUAAAGUCUGGAUGGAAGAAGAU